rnacentral:lncRNA from 10 species
GUGCUCCCUCCCCUCGCUGCUCACCUUGGUUCCCAAGAGCCGGGCGGCCGCAGUAAGUAAAGCCAUGGCGGGCGAUCUCCGGGAUCUGGUGGGGAGGUAAGAAAGGGAGAGAGCUGCGGCAGGAACAGGAGCCGCCGCCGCUGCACCAGAGGCCGCGCCGACGGGUUGACAAGGUUGAAAGGAGGCGGCUGAAGGAAAGAGUAGACGAACCGGCGGCGGCGCCCAGCCCGGGGUCCUCAAGGAGGCCCCGCCCACUGGCCGGAACCCGAGCCCGCCCCUCUCAAGGGACUCUCCCCGGGCCCGGCCAUUGGUCCGGUAUGGAAGCGGGGCGGGACCUUAGCCCUUGACAGCAGUUGUGACGGGGAGGAUUGGACCGCCCGGAUUAGGGCUAAUUAAGGGUGGAUGGGUGGCGGGCGGGGAAGUGCGGGUGGCUAAAUAGGUGCCUGAUAACUCAGUUAACUUCCCUCUUGGCUUUUCCCUUUGACCUUAACACUUUUGGGGUUAUCUCUGAGGCGAAUGCUAAAGGAGACGCUCCAGGACUCGACCUCUGAAGGUCCUUGGAGCCAAUUCCGUAAUAUGAUCAUGGAAACUGAUCAUUGCCUGAUCCUUCUACCGCCUUGGCGCGCUUUCUUGAGGAAUGUCUUUGGUUAAUGGCUUCACGGCCAUGGAGGUGACAUCAUGUGGACAACAGGCUAGGAUGCCAGAGUUAGCUGCUCGGUGGAGAUCAUUUGAGCUCCGACUCAGAUUUUGAACGGAUGUUUGCAUGUAUACCACAGUGCUACAUUAAAAACCAGUCAUGUGGAUGUGGAGAAGGGUGCUGAUCAGGACUCCCUGUUUGCUAACAAAUUCUACAGCAGAAACAAAGUAUUAAGGUUUGCAGCCAGGAAGCAAGUGCAUGGGGAAUAAGCCUGCAGCUUCUUCCAAAUGAGACAGAGCCAAAUCUUUUUUCUGAGUCUGUUUUCUUCAUUUCUAUUAAACCAAGGUCCUUUUUAAGCAGUCGAAUUUCAUCCAAA